AUGAAUGGGAAUUUAAAAAAAAAAUUGCGGCAAACAUUUUUGAAAUUUGGAACGAAAUGAAAAAUACAGGUUCAUGAGGUUCACUUUGGAUUUCAAAAGUUGAAACUGGUUGAAUCGGACAAAAAUUUUAGAAGUUAGAGCAAAUGCUGAAUCCCCAUUGAGAAUGAAUGGGAAUUUUAAAAAAAAAUGGCGCAAAACAUUUUAGAAAUUUGGAACAAAACGAAAUAUGCGUGUUCAGGAGGUUCACUUUUGGGGUUCAAAUGUUGAAAAGGGUUGAAUCGGACAAAAACUGUAAAAGUUAGAGCAAAUUUAGCUAUUUAGGGCACUUCGUGUUGAAAUAAGGUCACUUCCGGUUUAUUUGGGCCACUUCCGGUUUAUUUAUGGUCACUUCCGGUUUGAAAAGGUCACUUCUGGUUCAUUUGGGUCACUUCCGGUUUGACUUGGGGCACUUCUGGUUUCAUUUAGGUCACUUCUGGUUUAUUUGGGGUCACUUCCGGUUUGAUUUGGGGCACUUCCGGUUCAUUCUGAGUUCAUUCGGGGGCACUUCAGGGUCAGUCCAAGAUGGCCGCCACACUGGAAGUGGGGGUCAAGGGGGUGAAUAUGGUAAGCAUAAGGUGAACAAAGUUAAUAAAGUUGGA